rnacentral:rRNA from 1 species
GCCAUCACGGGGCGGCAGGCCUACACAUGCAAGUCGAGCGCUCACUUCGGUGGGAGCGGCGGACGGGUUAGUAACGCGUGGGAACGUGCCCAGAUCUAAGGAAUAGCCACUGGAAACGGUGAGUAAUACCUUAUACGCCCUUCGGGGGAAAGAUUUAUCGGAUUUGGAUCGGCCCGCGUUAGAUUAGAUAGUUGGUGGGGUAAUGGCCUACCAAGUCUACGAUCUAUAGCUGGUUUUAGAGGAUGAUCAGCAACACUGGGACUGAGACACGGCCCAGACUCCUACGGGAGGCAGCAGUGGGGAAUCUUGGACAAUGGGGGCAACCCUGAUCCAGCCAUGCCGCGUGAGUGAUGAAGGCCUUAGGGUCGUAAAGCUCUUUCGCCAGGGAUGAUAAUGACAGUACCUGGUAAAGAAACCCCGGCUAACUCCGUGCCAGCAGCCGCGGUAAUACGGAGGGGGUUAGCGUUGUUCGGAAUUACUGGGCGUAAAGCGCGCGUAGGCGGAUUGGAAAGUUGGGGGUGAAAUCCCGGGGCUCAACCCCGGAACUGCCUCCAAAACUAUCAGUCUAGAGUUCGAGAGAGGUGAGUGGAAUUCCGAGUGUAGAGGUGAAAUUCGUAGAUAUUCGGAGGAACACCAGUGGCGAAGGCGGCUCACUGGCUCGAUACUGACGCUGAGGUGCGAAAGUGUGGGGAGCAAACAGGAUUAGAUACCCUGGUAGUCCACACCGUAAACGAUGAAUGCCAGUCGUCGGCAAGCAUGCUUGUCGGUGACACACCUAACGGAUUAAGCAUUCCGCCUGGGGAGUACGGUCGCAAGAUUAAAACUCAAAUGAAUUGACGGAAGGGC